GGCUAGAGGCUGAGGAGAAUAGGGAGAGGCUGGUUAAAGGGUACAAACUUUCAGUUAUAAGAUGAAUAAGGUCUCAGGAUCUAACAUAUAAGAUGGUGACCAUAGUUGACAAUACUGUAUCCUAUAAUUGAAAUUUGCCAAGAGAGUGGAACUUAAGUGUUCUCACUAAAACAGAACAAAACAACAAACAAACCAAAAAAGAUAAAUAUGUGAGGUGAUGGGUGAGUUAAUUAACUUGAUGGUGGGAAUCCUUUUACAGUAUAUACAUACAGCAAAUCACCAUCUUGUACACUUUAAAUACAUUACAUUUUUAUUUGUCAACUAUAUCUUAGUGAAGCUAAAAAAAAAAAA